AGCUCCAAUAGCGUAUAUUAAAGUUGUUGCAGUUAAAAAGCUCGUAGUUGGAAGUUGGACACGGCCGGGCGGUCCACCUUUGGGUGCGUACUGCUCAGUGGUUGCUUCGGCGGCCACGAGGCUGAGUCUCAGCCGCGUCCUCGUGUGCAGCAAUGCGCACGCGGGACAGGCAGUUACCUUGAAAAAAUUAGAGUGUUCAAAGCAGGCGUCUCCGCCCGAAUAGAUUAGCAUGGAAUAACGGAAUAGGACCUUGGUCUUGUUUUGCUGGUUCUCAGGACCACGGUAAUGAUCAACAGGGACAGUUGGGGGCACUCGUAUUUCAUUGCUAGAGGUGAAAUUCUUGGAUUUAUGAACGACGAACUUUUGCGAAAGCAUCUGCCAAGGAUGUUCUCA
rnacentral:rRNA from 1 species